UACGGAGGAUCCAAGCGUUAUCCGGAAUCAUUGGGUUUAAAGGGUCCGUAGGCGGUUUGAUAAGUCAGUGGUGAAAGCCCAUCGCUCAACGAUGGAACGGCCAUUGAUACUGCCAGACUUGAAUUACUGGGAAGUAACUAGAAUAUGUAGUGUAGCGGUGAAAUGCUUAGAUAUUACAUGGAAUACCAAUUGCGAAGGCAGGUUACUACCAGUGGAUUGACGCUGAUGGACGAAAGCGUGGGGAGCGAACAGG
rnacentral:rRNA from 1 species